CUCCAGCGCCCCUGCCUUGGUUAUCCUUGAAACAGAACAACAGAGAUCCCAUAGUCAAACUACAGCUCAAGUCCAGUGCUACAAAUUAACCCGGGAGGAACACUGGACAUUGACUUUAAUCUCAUCCUUUGGUCAAAUGGAGGAUGUUAUUUUUCACCCCUUAGAAUCUUUGGGAAUAAGAGAAAAAAAGUGAGAAGGCCACAGCCACUGUUGUUAAUGGGAGGGGCGGUGGCCCCAUCCCAAUCUGGAACACAAAGCAACAGCUCUUAGAAACUGUGUAAUUAAAUUCACGUGUGAAUUUUGUGCCUUCCAAGAGUAUGUUUCUCAUUACUUCACUAUCCACAAAAAUGCUGACCCGAGACAUUUCCAUCUUUGUUUUUGCUUUCUUCCUCAGAAAUAGUUCAAGGAGACACUUUCCAACGCUCUGACAGAUUCCCCCAAAUAUUAGGCUCUCCACCAGAGAGGGGCUGGGAAGCUCCCGGGAUCCACACCCCCUCGCUUGUCGGCAGGAAGAAGAAAGUGGUCAGCGCCAGGAACUGGAUGUGGCCUGUCCUGACUGCCUCAGUCCCCUCCCCCUAAUAUUUUUCCUUUCCCUGCAAAUUCCUCCAAGACACACACACCCCCAACACAACCCAAGGUGUUCUAAAUAUCCGGUAGUCCUCUGAGGUUCAGGUUUUCAUUAAAGCAAUAACCCAGGAGUAUAACUCUGCUCUUAAUUGUAAUAGUAAAUGGUAGAGUAUUCCUGGCUGACUUUUUCAUUUUUUGUAUUCAGAGAAGAUAUGUAUCAUCACCAUCAUCAUUAAUAUCAUUAAUAUUUAUUAAUUUAAAAUACUUUUAAAACUUUAGUCUCAAAACAGAAAAAUUACAAAGAAUUAGGUACUGAGUAUUAAGCAGCUGUUUACAUGUGGCCCAAAAGGGGGAAAAUUCAUAAAAGGAGAUAUUGUCCUUGUGAGUCUAGAAACAUGAUCCUAAAGUAUACAGGUUUUUAUUUCUGCUUUCUUUUGGAUGAGUUGUAUACACAUCUAGAAAUAAUAAAUGGAUGCAACCACACAACACCUCAUGCUCAACUGAGAAUCUUCCAAAAACGUUGGUCUUUGAAAUAAGCCCAGUACCCGGAUGCAGAAAAUGGCAGAGAAGAGUUGGAGGGAGCCUGGAGUACUGGUCACUCAGAUAACAGGUUGUUGGCUGAGCAACGAAAACAAUUCCCGGGCAUCAGCCUGAGCCGGGAAGGGAAACAGAGUUCUGUGGUCUCAGGCAGUGCCUGUGUUGUUGGGGGUGGGGAGAGGGUGGUUUGUUUCAGGUUUCUGUAUUAAGAGUCGUUAGGCUGGUUUUCUUAGAUUACAAUUUAGUACCAGUGCCCCAGUUUGUGCCCUCCCUGAUCUUGAAUUUGGGAUUGUUUUCACUCAUUUAAAAUAUAUUGGACCUGGGAAGGUCUCCCUUCUCAAACCCUCAGUUGCACAAGGCAGGACAUUUUCUGAAUCUAAAAUGGCUAGCAAGCCAGCGAGCAGUCAAGCCUUGGACCCGGUGAGGCUCUCUCAUCACGGUCAAAGCCCGAGUUAGGACCCGUAAAGCUGGCAGAGUCGGUCAGAAGCUUCCCGCUGAAGCGUUCUCAGUAGUCGGGCGACACAGAACCUAGGCAGGAAUUCAGCCCUGAUUCCAAUUUCCGAACCAAUGGAUCUGGCAAAGUGUUUCCUGCCCUCGAUGUGGGCACACAAAGACGCCGCGGGUGCCCCCUCACCGGAUCUCUCGGGCAGCCGCUAACGCAAGGCCGCCGCCAUCCGGUCGUGAUCGUAACCGAGGCCUUGUCUGCGCAGAGGCCCACCAGGCCAGAAAACACGGACCUGACCAGCUUCCCUUAUGCACACCUUAGCACAUUCAAAACUGUGUACCGAGGGGGUGGGGGGAAUGAAACCUCGAAGCUUUCUCUAAGCCAGCCCUUUACCCUCCGGAAGAACGAUUUGGAAUGGAAGCGGAGAGACAGAUUUGGACAGAAAGAUGGAAGAUGCAAGAAAAAGAAAAGAAAAAAAAGGAAGGAGUAAGGGAAAGGAAAAAAAAAAAAGAAAGAAGAAAGGAAAGAGGAUAAAAAUACGUAAAAGAAACAGCGGCAACUGAGAGUAGAGGGCGCCCUUGCAGAGGAAGGGUAAGCAACAAGGCCAGGAUACCAGCCCCGGGCUGUCCUGACUCUCCCGUCUCUGGCUGGGUCUCUACUGGCGAAGGACCUUUGCCUCUGCUCGUAGCGGGAUUACAGUGACGAGCAUGUGUUCCAGCCCAGCCUUGCAGGAAAAUGACAGAGCCCCACACAGGCACAGGUAUGGAAAGCUCAGACAGCAAACGAGCGCCCCUGACCUUGAAUGGCCUGGGGCCCAGAAUUCUUACCACGCCCCCGGCGUCCAAGAAUCAGCCGCUAACCUGACUGUACCUGCUCCGGGCCAGGUGCCGGGCGGCGACAGUGAGGCGGGCUGGGUGGCACAGCGCCGAGGAAGACCCGAAGCUCCUCCUGCACAUGGGGAUCUGAGGUUGCCACCGCAGGCCUGGCACGAUUAGGCCUUGAUGGCCCGCCUAGCCAUCCCGGGCUGCUCUGGACAGGUACCUGGAGAUGCUUUCAACUGAAGUAAUGAAGGCAGUGUCGUGCUGUCGAGAGAAAGGUGGAUCCCAACAACAGGAAACUACCUAAAUCACCGACCAGUUCUGAUGCUGCGGGCGUAGGGUUGCCUCGCCCCUCGCCGCCUCCGCUGCUGCCACUGUCGCCGCCAAGGAAAGAGCCCUGCGAUUGUGCCCAGUCGAGCCCUCCUCCGCAACCUGUACCAGACACCACCCUAACCCCAUGGUGGAUGAAGAGGGCUCCAGGCUCCGGAAAGCCAGGUCAAGCCCUUUAGCUAACCUGAAUGUCCAUGCUUCCAUACUCUGCUCUUGGCCAAGGAAGAAAAGAAGAAAGAAAAGAGAAACCAGGCCUGGACUCCCUGAUUAAACACAGCCCAGCACUCCAGGCUGGCGAACCCGGUGGCGGCUCCUUGCACCAUUGACCUCAGGCCAGACACCUCAGCGCCGACAAUGGGACCUAAGGCUUCCGGCUAAGUUUACCCAGGGCUGGGCAGGAAACCAGAUCCGUGGAGGAGUACUGGGGCCCUUUCCUAGCAGUGGGUCCCAGAGGCAGCAAACCCAGCCCAUUCAGGACUUGACACUGAGAAAGAUCUCAACCUCUAUAGAAUUUUAGCGAUAUGGCUUUUUCCCCCAGAAAACAAGCAAACAAACACCAAGCAAACAGACAAAGAAACAAACAAACAAAAAAAGCCAGAACAAACCAGCCCUGCACAGACGAAACGGCCUGGGAGAUGGCGAGUGUGGGAGGGAGAAAGGGGCUCCGGCACAGGUGUGAGUUCUGGGGCAGAGGCUGGAGGCAGAGGAUGGGUCCAGGCGCUCAGGAAGCGAAAAGACGUUGUCUGGAAGUUUCAUCAGGAAAAAUUAAAGUUGGCUGUGAGCUCCCGGAUUCGGUUUUCUCGGUUCAUUUUCUUCAGUUUCAUCCUGCGAUUCUGAAACCAGAUUUUCACUUGUCUGUCCGUGAGGUGGACGCUACGGCUGAUCUCUAGGCGCCGCUCUC